GAUGAACGCUGGCGGCGUGCCUAAUACAUGCAAGUCGAGCGAACGGACGAGAAGCUUGCUUCUCUGAUGUUAGCGGCGGACGGGUGAGUAACACGUGGAUAACCUACCUAUCAGACUGGGAUAACUUCGGGAAACCGGAGCUAAUACCGGAUAAUAUUUUGAACCGCAUGGUUCAAAAGUGAAAGACGGUCUUGCUGUCACUUAUAGAUGGAUCCGCGCUGCAUUAGCUAGUUGGUAAGGUAACGGCUUACCAAGGCAACGAGGCAUAGCCGACCUGAGAGGGUGAUCGCCCACACUGGAACUGGGACACGGUCCAGACUCCUACGGGAGGCAGCAGUAGGGUAUCUUCCGCAAUGGUCGAAAGCCUGACGGAGCAACGCCGCGUGAGUUAUGAAGGUCUUCGGAUCGUAAAACUCUGUUAUUAGUGAAGAACAUAUGUGUAAGUAACUGUGCACAUCUUGACGGUACCUAAUCAGAAAGCCACGGCUAACUACGUG
rnacentral:rRNA from 1 species